CUGUUCUGCUGACUGUCUUGCUCAGCUGGGGUCAUCUGCUCCUCUAAGACAUCAAGGAAUGCCAAGCUGGUCGUGAUGUCUGAGCCAACAGGCAUCUAAUAGUUCCCUAAAUUCUGUCCUGUUCAUCCCCAUGCGCUGCCACCGCUACUACAGAAGCCUGAUGGUGGCAGCUCCACAGAAGACCAAUGGAAAGGAGGAUACAAAGAGGCGAUUUGCUUGAUGGCCUCCACUGAAGACCUGGAGAACAUAACGAAGAUGGGCCAGGGCUGGAACCAGCUCCCACAAGCUUCCUGUUCUCAGCCUGAGGCGGGACCAAGCCCAAUAAGAAUUUGACAGUUCAAGAAUCAGCUCUUGAAAGCAAUCAUUUGUCACCGCAGGGCUAUGCAAAAUCGUACCUGCAAAUACAUGGUAAGACUAAACAGAAUGCAAAAGCACAGUACUGGGUGGUCAAAGGGAAAUGACCACAGAACAGCAUCUGGAGACCUGCAUAGUUUCUGAGCCUCCUGCCCACUUCAGCCUGGAAUAAGGCCUUCAGGAAGCAAGGGAGCGGAAGGAAGGGAGGAAGAGAAAUAUCAAUUGGCUGCCUUCCGAAUGCACCCUGACUGGGGACUGAACCUGCACCCAGGCAUGUGCUGUGACCUGGGAACUGAACCAGUGACCUUUCAGUUUGUGGGACAAUGCCCAACCAGCUGAGCCAUACCAGUCAGGGCGAUUUAAAGUUUAUUAAUUAUUCUCUUUCCAUGACACCAUGCCUUACUCUCUGUGUCUAAAACAUUGCUAGAGAAUAGUGCUGAUGGGAAGGGAGGCACUUCCAACAAAAGAACCGAUCUUUUGUCCUUUUGCCCCCUAAAUAUAUGGCAGAUGGUAGGUCCUGCAAGGGGAUUACUCCAUACUUGAAGCUAAAGGGAGAGAGAGCCCCAGGGACAAAUAUUACAGCCCAAGUGUUUCAAGGUAUAGAGUUUCUUAUAUGUAAUAGGUCCUUAUUUAUUUGAUUUAUUUUUAUAUAUUAAUAUAUAAUAAAGAAUU